GUGUUACUCCCUCCGUCCGAAAAAGCUUGUCCGAAAAAGCUUGUCCCUCAAAUGGAUGUAUCUAGCACUAACUUGGUGCUAAAUACAUCCAUUUGAGGGACAAGCUUAGCUUUUUCGGACGGAGGGAGUACUAC
rfam:Triticum aestivum genome assembly, contig: Triticum_aestivum_CS42_TGACv1_scaffold_499458_6BL